rnacentral:rRNA from 1 species
AACGUAGGAGACGAACGUUAUCCGGAGUUACUGGGCGUAAAGGGCGUGUAGGCGGUUUGUUAAGUCUGGCGUGAAAGCUCUCGGCUAAACCGGGAGAGGUCGUUGGAUACUGGCGAACUAGAGGAUGGUAGAGGCGUGUGGAAUUCCGGGUGUAGUGGUGAAAUGCGUAGAGAUCCGGAGGAACACCAAUGGCGAAGGCAGCUCGCUGGGACGGUACUGACGCUGAGGCGCGAAAGCUAGGAGAGCAAACGGG